UACGUAGGGGGCUAGCGUUGUCCGGAAUCAUUGGGCGUAAAGCGCGUGUAGGCGGUCCGGUAAGUCCGCUGUGAAAGUCGGGGGCUCAACCCUCGAAUGCCGGUGGAUACUGUCGGGCUAGAGUGCGGAAGAGGCGAGUGGAAUUCCUGGUGUAGCGGUGAAAUGCGCAGAUAUCAGGUGGAACACCGAUGGCGAAGGCAGUGAUCUGGGCCAGUACUGACGCUGAGGAGCGAAAGCGUGGGGAGCAAACAGG
rnacentral:rRNA from 1 species